rnacentral:misc_RNA from 1 species
AAAGUCGUAACAAGGUCUCCGUAGGUGAACCUGCGGAGGGAUCAUCAAAGGAUUUUUAUCAAACAAAAAGGAAAAGAGGGGGAGAUAUAUAGUGUGCGCUGUCUUUUUUCCCUCCUCCUAGUAUAACAAUACAAGGGGGUUGAAAAGAGAGAGAUGGUACACUUUUCUCUCUCUCUUUUUUCUUUUCAAACAAACGAUCACAACUAUAUAUGAGAGAGGGAAAUUGACUUGGAAAUUAGGAGAAUCCCCUGAAAAAAGUGUUUGCCUGAUAAUUUAUUUGGUUGGAAACAAAAAAAGAAUACAACUUUCAACAACGGAUCUCUUGGCUCUC